rnacentral:tRNA from 1 species
CAAUUUAUAGCUUAAUUAAAGCAUCUUGCUUACACCAAGAAAACACCCGUUAAACUCGGGUUAAAUUGA